ACCCUCUCAGGGUCGCCCCUGGAGUUUACAGUGCUCUACCAGUCUCGGCUAUGGGAGGGAGAGUCAGGUAGAGGCCUAUCCAUUCCAUUCCUAGCUUAGCCAGGGGCUAGCGAGUGGAAGGCAAUCUGCUACAGGU